rnacentral:rRNA from 1 species
AAAAGAAACCAACAGGGAUUGCCCCAGUAACGGCGAGUGAAGCGGCAACAGCUCAAAUUUGAAAUCUGGCCCCCGGGUCCGAGUUGUAAUUUGUAGAGGAUGCUUUUGGCGAGGUGCCUUCCGAGUUCCCUGGAACGGGACGCCAUAGAGGGUGAGAGCCCCGUCUGGUCGGACACCGAGCCUCUGUAAAGCUCCUUCGACGAGUCGAGUAGUUUGGGAAUGCUGCUCAAAAUGGGAGGUAUAUGUCUUCUAAAGCUAAAUAUUGGCCAGAGACCGAUAGCGCACAAGUAGAGUGAUCGAAAGAUGAAAAGCACUUUGAAAAGAGGGUUAAAAAGUACGUGAAAUUGUUGAAAGGGAAGCGCCUAUGACCAGACUUGGGCCCGGUGAAUCACCCAGCGUUCUCGCUGGUGCACUUCGCCGGGCACAGGCCAGCAUCAGUUUGGCGCGGGGGAGAAAGGCUUCGGGAAUGUGGCUCCCCCGGGAGUGUUAUAGCCCGUUGCGCAAUACCCUGCGCUGGACUGAGGUACGCGCAUUCGCAAGGAUGCUGGCGUAAUGGUCAUCAGCGACCCGUCUUGAAACACGGACCAAGGAGUCGUCUUCGUAUGCGAGUGUUCGGGUGUCAAACCCCUACGCGUAAUGAAAGUGAACGCAGGUGAGAGCUUCGGCGCAUCAUCGACCGAUCCUGAUGUUCUCGGAUGGAUUUGAGUAAGAGCAUACGGGGCCGGACCCGAAAGAAGGUGAACUAUGCCUGUAUAGGGUGAAGCCAGAGGAAACUCUGGUGGAGGCUCGCAGCGGUUCUGACGUGCGAAUCGAUCGUCAAAUAUGGGCAUGGGGGCGAAAGACUAAUCGA